CCGUCCUUAGCUCAGCGGAUUAGAGUAACGGAUUCCGAUUCCGUCGGUCGUGGGUUCAAAUCCCUCAGGGCGGG
rnacentral:tRNA from 1 species